rnacentral:rRNA from 1 species
UAACGCGAAGAACCUUACCUGGGUUUGACAUGCACAGGACGCGUCUAGAGAUAGGCGUUCCCUUGUGGCCCGUGUGCAGGUGGUGCAUGGCUGUCGUCAGCUCGUGUCGUGAGAUGUUGGGUUAAGUCCCGCAACGAGCGCAACCCUUGUCUCAUGUUGCCAGCACGUAAUGGUGGGGACUCGUGAGAGACUGCCGGGGUCAAUUCGGAGGAAGGUGGGGAUGACGUCAAGUCAUCAUGCCCCUUAUGUCCAGGGCUUCACACAUGCUACAAUGGCCGGUACAAAGGGCUGCGAUGCCGCAAGGUUAAGCGAAUCCUUUUAAAGCCGGUCUCAGUUCGGAUCGGGGUCUGCAACUCGACCCCGUGAAGUCGGAGUCGCUAGUAAUCGCAGAUCAGCAACGCUGCGGUGAAUACGUUCCCGGGUCUUGUACACACCG